UAAGUACUCCCUUCGUCUGAAAAUACUUGGCAUCAAAAUGGAUAAAAUAAAUGGAUAAAAUGGGAUGUAUCUAGACGUAUUUUAGUUCUAGAUACAUAUCUUUUUAUCCAUUUUGAUGACAAAUAUUUUCGGACGGAGGGAGUAUUAA
rfam:Triticum aestivum genome assembly, contig: Triticum_aestivum_CS42_TGACv1_scaffold_158281_2DL